UAUUUUAGUAUAGACAGAGUCUCACCUUAUUGCCCAGGCUGGUCUCAAACUCCUGAGCUGAAGCAAUCCGCCCAUCUCAGCUUCCCAAAGUGCUGGAAUUAGAGGCAUGAGCCACUGUGCCUGGCCUAUUUUAUUUUAAAGAUGAGGCCUCACUUUGUCACCCAGGUUGGAGUGCAGUGGCGUGAUCAUAGUUCACUGCCAUUUUGCCCUCCUGGGCUCAAACAGUACUCACGACUCAUCUUCCUGAGUAGCUAGGACUGCAGGCAUGUCGCUAGCAUGCCCAGCUAAAACAGUUCUUUAUAUUCUAGAUCGGGGUGUCCAAUCUUUUGACUUCCCUGGGCCACAUUAGAAGAAGAAGAAUUGUCUUGGGCCACACAUAAAAUACACUAACAGUAAUGACAGCUGAUGAGCUAAAAAAAGAAUUACCAAAACAUCUCAUAAUGUUUUAAGAAAGUUUACAAGUUUAUGUUGGGCCACAUUCAAAGCCAUCGUGGGCCUCUGGCCGUGGGUUGGAUGAGCUUGUUCUAAAUGCUAGACCCUUAUCAGAUGGAUGGUUUGUAGAUAUUUAUCGCAUGCUGUGGGUUUUUUUUUUUUACUUUCUUUUAGGUUUUUUUUUUUCUUAAAUAAUUAAACUGAUUAAAAGCUUUAAUCUUUUCAUUUUCUUGAUAAUGUCUUUUAAAGCACAAAGUUUUGUUUCAAUGAUGUCUAAUUUGUCUAUUUUUUUUUCUUUGGUUGCUUGUCAUACGUAAGAAACUGUUGCUAAAUCCAGAAUGCUGAAGAUUUACUUGUGAACUUUGUUUCCUUCUAUGAGUUUUAUAGUUUUAGCUCUUGUAUUUAGGUCUUUGAUACAUUUUGAGGUUUUUUUGUUGUUGUUGAGACAACUCCAUCUCAAAAAGAAAAAAAAAAGAGAAUAAUGCUGCCAUCAUGCUUGAGGGUUUUUUUUUAUUUUGUUUUGUUUUGUUUGUGGGGGGAGCGGAGGGCACAGUCUCACUCUGUUACGCAGGCUGGAGUGUAGUAGGCUUACUGCAGCCUCCUCCGCCCCCUGGUUCUAGUGAUUCUUGUGCCUCAGGCUCCUGAGUAUCAUGCUGCAAUUUUUGUGUGAGCAUACAUUUUUCAUUUCUCUUGGGUCAAUAUCUAGGAGUAUCCCCACUUUUGGUUCUGAGUGUUAAUUGAGCCUGUUGUGUUCUCACAUUCCCUGUACUUAGAUGGAAAUAGUGCUUUGCCUAAAAAGAAAAUAAAAGACCUGAUUGUGCAGGCGAGUGAGAAAGAGAGAGAGGCGCUAGGGUUAUUUCCACCCUGAUACUCUUUGGGUAGUCUUGGUAUGACUAGCAAAGAAGCAAGCUCCAAGUUGUAGUUUGCUUCCAAGUUUCUGGCUUCUGUGGGAAUUUCUGCAUCUAAGUAAUGACAAUUUUCAGUUACUUGCAGUAAGUAAAUUAUCAACCAAUCUUACUGUGUAUUACUAGCCUAGUAGGAAUUUACUUGUAUAUCGAGAGGAAUGCUGCAGCUUUCACCUUACUUCUAAUGGGGAUUAAUGCUUACUUAACUUGCAGUUUUGGAGGCAAGUACAAAGUACAGGACCAAUUAUGGUCAUGAAGUGAGAGAGAAGUCUGGCUAGUGAAUGGUGAUUGGCAACUCCAGUUGACUGUUCAUGGCAUCUUAGAUCUGUGAGGAGGGAGGAGGGAAGGAAAGUUCAAGCUGGUCUUUAUGGUAAGUUCUGGAACAUUUCCCUGUGUCAAUGGGUCAUCUGUUCAUUCACUGUGUAAAAUGGUUGAGGGAAGUUUUAAUUUACAUGCUUCCUUAUUGUGUAAACCUUUGAUUUUUAGUGAUUUCAGAGUUUGUUUUUAUAAUUACUUAACACGUGAAGAGGAUGCAGAGUAACGUAUCGAAGCUCUGGUUACCUUCCACUGGGAUUUGACACAUUUGAUUUCCUUUAUUCCCUCCUUCCUUCCCUUCCUCCCUCUCUCUUUUCUUAAGGAAUGCAACUACUCAGAUUCACCUGCACACCCUUGGCAUACCUCUCACUCCCCCUUACCCCCACUUCCUCAGAGGUGACCUGUCCUCAGAGGCAAAUGUGUGCCCUUUCCAUCCGUACUUUUAUGCUCUCAUCUAUGUUUACAUCUAUUAGUACACUAUUGUCUGUAUUUUUAAACAUUACAUAAAUGGUGUAAUUUUUACUUUUAAUUCUGUAGUGGUGUUUCUCAAAUUAAGUUCUGCACAAAACAUUUUUAUAGAUAUCCAGUGUUAGCUUAACGUUUUUCUUAUUGUGGUAAAAUAUACAUAAGAUAAAAUUUACCAUUUUAGCCAUUUUUAAGUUUACAAGUCAGUGGCAUUAAGUACAUUCACAGUGUUGUAUAACCAUCACCAUUGUCCAUUGCCAGAACUUUUCAUCAUCCUAAACAGAAACUCUGUACUCAUUAAACAAUAGUUUAUCACUCCUUCCCUGCAACUAGAUGCUGGCAAUCACCAUUCUACUUUCUAUCUCUAUCAAUUUGCCUCUUCCAUCUAAGUGGAAUCCUACAUAUUUGUCGCUUUGUUUCUGGCUUUUUUUUCUUCUUGUGAUGCUUUGUUUUAAUUAUGUUCCUGGCUUUCAUCAUCUAGCAGGCUGAUUCCAAGGUUUGUCCAUGUGGUAGCUUGUAUCACUUUAAUGUUUUUAGAGAUAGUUAAUAUUACAUUGUUUAUAUAUACCACAUUUUGUUUUUUCAUUCAACCUUGAUGGACAUUUGAAUUGUUUCCCCCUUUACCUGUUGUGAAUAAUGCUGCCGUGAACAUUGAUAACCAAAUAUUUGUUUGAAUCUCUGAUUUCAGUUCUUUUGGUUCCAUACCUAGGAGUGGAAUUGCUGGAUCAUAUGAUAAUUCUAUGUUUAACUCUUUGAGGGAUGGCCAGACUUUUCCACCAUAGCUAAAUCAUUUUACCUUCCCACAAGCAAAGUUCAAGGGCUCCAGUCUCUCCCCAUAAGGUCCUUUGCACUUUUUUUUUUGAGACGGAAUCUCACUCUGUUGCCCAGGCUGGAGAACAGUGGCACCAUCUUGCCUGACCUCAAGUGGCACCUGCCUUGGCCUCCCAAAGUGCUAGGAUUGUAGGCGUGGGCCACUGCACUCUGCCAAUUUUUUAAUUUUUAUUUUCAUUUAUUUUUCUUUUUUUAAUUUUUAAUUUUUUUAUUUUUUGAAGGGAUAAGGUCUCACUUUGUUGCCCAGGCUGGUCUUGAACUCCUGGCUUCAAGCAAUCCUCCUACCUCGGCUUCUCAGAGUGCUGAGAUUAUAGGUGUAAGCCCCUGCACAUGGCCUUUACUCUCUUGAUAGUGUCCUUUGAUGCACAAAAGCUUUCAAUUUUGAUGAAGUUUAUUUUUUAUCUUGUUACCUGUACAUUUGGUGUCAUAUAUCUAAGAGACCAUUGCCAAAUGCAGUGUCAUGAAGCUUUCCCUCAGUGUUUUCUUUCUGCAGUUUUAUGAUUUUAGCUCCUAAGUUUAGGUCUUUGAUCCAUUUUGAGUUAAUUUUUGUAUACAGUUUGAGAGUCACACUUGAGGCUCUGGGCGCAGUGGCUCACGCCUGUAAUCCCACUACUUGGGGAGGCCGAGGCGGAUGGAUCACCUGAGGUCAGGAGUUUGAGACCAGCCUGGCCAACAUGCCGAAACCCUGUCUCUACUAAAAAUACAAAAAUUAGCCAGGCAUGGUGAUGCAUACCUGUGGUCCCAGCUACUUGGGAGGCUGAGGCAGGAGAAUUGCUUGAACACAGGAGGCGGAGGUUGCAGUGAGCCGAGAUUGUGCCACUGCACUCCAGCCUGGGCGACAGAGCGAGACUCCAUCGUGCGGGGUGGGGGGUAAAAGUCAAACUUGAGUCUUUUGCCUGUGGAUAUCCAGUUUUCCCAUCACUAUUUGUUGAAAAGACUAUCCUUUCUCAACUGUGAAUGGUCUUGGUACCCUAGCUGAAGUUAUUUUUAUUAUUAUGUUACUUAGGAAUGCACAUAAGGCCUGGCACGGUGGCUCAUGCUUGUAAUUGCAGCACUUUGAGAGGUCAAGGUGGGAGGAUUCCUUGAGCCGAGGAGUUUGAGACCAGCCUGGGCAAUAUAGCAGCAAGACCCCAUCUCUAUAUUUUAAAAAAAGAAGAAAAAAAAACCUCUGAUGCAUAAAAUAUUUAAACUUGUAUGCAUUCUUUUCUUUCUUUAUUUUUUAAAAAUUGAGACAGCAGCUUACUCUGUUGUCCAGGCUGGUCUUGAACUCCUGGGCUCAAGCAGUUCCUCUCACCUUGGCCUGCAGUGCUGAGAUGACAGGUGUGAACCACUACACCUGGCCUGCUUACAGAUUAUAAAAAGAAAAUAAGUUUACAAGUUAAAGACAGAUAAAAUGACAAAAUCAGUAAAAUUAAAAUUACUUUUAUGGAGCCGAUGAUGUUUAUUCCAGUUGCUCCUCUCAUUGUGAAUAUGGUAUUGUUGCUGUGGCAGAUUUGGAGGCCGUGGCAGAUUUGGAGGCUUUGGCAAUGGCUUCUGUUACCUUGCCAUGAGGUAACUCAGUUCCCUCAUCACUUUUCUCUGAGAACUAUAAAACCUUGGAGGGGUGCCUUCUGCCCUUCGCUUGGCAUGUAUAUUAUGCAGGGAUCAGGUCUUACUCCGUUCUUGAUUGUUAGUACAAAUUAGUUAAAAUUGUAUUGUUUGGCCUUAGCCUGAUGGUAAACACAACAGCACACGUGGGCUGUGAAAUCUCUGGGCAGCUCUGUGUUUCUAGGGAAGCAUCUCGAUGAUCCAGAACAGGCUUAUACUAAUGUUUUAGUGUAAUUUUGAAAUGAAAACACAGCAUUUAAAAAUUCUUAUAGAGAAUGUAUAGACCUUGAGAAGUGUUAGCAGACCCAGUUUACGACAUGUCUCAAUAUUAUGAAACAUUGCUUUAUUCCCUAUCCUGCUUGUACAUUUAAUUUUUUCAUCCAGUUUUAAACAACUUGGGUACUGUGGCCUGUGCCUGUAUUCCCAGCUACUAGGGAGGCUGAGGCAGGAGGAUUGCUUGAGCACAGGACUUUGAGGGCUGUAGUGAGCUGUGAUUGUGCCUGUGAAUAGCCAUUGUGCUCCAGCCUGGGCAACAUAGCAAGACCCUGAUACCUUGGGUUUUUAAAAAACAAAACAAGAUACAUGCUGACAUUUCUGGUUUGGCAGGCAGAGCUUGUUCUGCUCCCCACCCUCCCUUUUCCCAUAGUAACCAUUUAUAGGACAUCUCACUGUUGUCUACUCUGUGUUGCCUCUGCUUCCCUGCGUGGUAGAUCUAGGAAUCUUAGGAUUUCUUAGUUUUAGCUGGUGAUCCGUAUCUUUUUCUUAAUUCCAUUGUAACUUCAGCUUUUCUUAUUGCUUGUAGGAAGGCUGUUUCCAUUGAAUACAAACAAAAUAAAAGCUUUUAUUCUUAAUCUUAGAGAUAGGAUGUUUGUAUUUAAAAAUAAUUGUGCUGUCAAAAUUCUGUCAAGUUGGCUUUUACCACAUUAGUUUUUUUUAAUGUGGUUUAUAUGACCCUGGAGUACCUUGUCUUCUCACUGUUAAAUUCUCAACUGAGUUGUCCCUAUUUAAAGUGUGAGACUGUGCCAGUUUGAUUUUAAAAUAUUGCAAGUGCGUUAUGGCAAGAUAAAACUGCAAAGAAAGAACCUUCAUGUCCCUUUGAUUAUAAAUGCUUUUGGCACUUGUUUCUACUUUUUCCUAAUGUUUUUUGAGGAAAGAACCUCCAACUCUCCAGACAGGUCUGGGGGCAAAUGACUAAAACAUGAACUGAGGCCCUGGGCUGUCUCUGUGAGGAUAUCCCCUCUAUUCUCUCUGAAAUGUCCCAGCAUGUGGUGCAUUUCUUGUUAGUGUGGACUCCUCUGUAUAUAACACAUCUUAUUUAUCUUCUGUGCAUAACAUGAAGUAGUGCCCUAAUGCAAUUCCAGGAUGUAAUUCAGCAUUUCUAUAAAAAUACAGUGUUUUUCUACAUUUGCAUCAAAAAAUAACCAGAUAAUUAUAUUUAUUAAGAAAAUAGCAUUUUUGGCUGGGUGUGGUAGCUCACGUAAUCCCAGCACUUUGGGAGGCCGAGGCAGGCAGAUCACUUGAGGUCAGGAGUGAGGCAGGCAGAUCACUUGAGAUCAGGAGUUCGAGACCAGCCUGGCCAACAUGGUGAAACCCCAUCUCUACUAAAAAUGCAAAAUUAGCCUGGCGUAGUGGUGCAUGCCUGUAAUCCUAGCUACUCAGGAGACUGAGGCAGGAGAAUCACUUGAACUUGGGAAGGGGAGAUUGCAGUGAGCUGAGAUUGUGCCACUGCACUCCAGCCUAGGCAACAGAGUGAGACUCUGUUUCAAAAAAAAAAAAAAAAAACAAAGAAAAGAAAAGAAAGAAAGAAAUGUAUUUUUGGUAUUUGUUUUCACAAACUAGAGCAUUUAUGUGAAAUAACAUUGCUAGUAUUGAUAUUAUACCAUAGUAUAAUACUUAGUUCUUCAGCGAUGUAUCUCUGCUGAUCAGCUACAUGAUAUCUACUUGAGCUGUUGGAUUUUUUUUAAGAACAGUGCAUUUUUGAAUGCUUUUGAAAAAUUGUAGUAAAAUACAUAAAACAACAUUUACCUUGUAAGCAUUUUAAUUGGUACAAUUCAGUGACAUUAAGUACAGUCCCAGUUUAGUGCAACCACUGUUACUGUCUAGUUUCAGAACGUUUUUGCCCCAGAUGGAUACUCUGUACCUGUUGAACAUUCAGUCCUCAUGGCCCAAUAAUCUUUAUGUCUGUAUAGAUUUGCCUAUUCUGCAUAUUUUAUAUAAAUGGAAUCAUGUCUUUUGUGUCUGGCUUCUUUUACCUAGCAUAGUAUUUUCAAGGUUCAUCCAUGUUGCAGCAUGUUUCAAUACUUUGUUCCUUUUUAUGUCCAUUGUAUGGAUAUGCCACAUUUCGUUAAUGACAAUUCUUUUGGGUAGCUACAUUUUAAAACAUUAUAGUAGAAUACAUAUAGCAUACAAUUUACUAUCUUAACCAUUUAAGCCUGCAGUUCAGUGGCAUUAAAUACAUUCACGUUACUGUGCAAUUAUCACCACCAUCUGUUUGCAGAAACUUUUCAUCUCCUCCAUUUGAAACUCUGUAUACAUUAAACAUGAACUCUCCCUUCUCCCCUUCCUCCAGCCCUGGCAGCCACCGUUCUACAUUUUUAUCUUUCUGACAGAGAUUUUACUACUCUAGGUACCUCACAUAAGUGAAAUCAACCAGUAUUUAUCCUUUUGUGACCAGCUUAUUUCAUUAGCUUAAUGUCCUCAAGGUUCAUCCAUGUUGUAGCAUAUGUCAACAUGACUUUCCUUUUAAGGUUGAAUAAUAUUCCAUUGUAUGUAUAUGUCACAAUUUGUUUCUCCAUUUAUCCAUCACUGGACAUUUGGGUUGCUUUUACCUAUCGGCUGUCUUGAAUCAUGUUGCUAUAGCUGUACAAGUAUCUAUUUGAGUUUCUGCUAUCAAUUCUUUAAGUAUAUGCCCAGAAGUGGAAUUGCUGGAUCAUAUGGUAAUUCCGUGUCUGGUUUUUUUUUUGAGGAAGUGCCAUGCUGUUUUCCACACAGCUGUACCAUUGUACAUUCCCCCCAGCAAUGUACGAGGGCUCUGAUUUCUUCACAUCCUUGCUAACACUUAGUAUUUUUUUUGAUAGAAUAGCCAUCCUAAUGGCUACUUUUAAAGUAUGUUUAACAUUAUUUAUUUAUUUUUAAUUUUUUUUGUAGAGAUGGCAUCUUACUGUGUUGCCCAGGCUGGUCAUGAACUCCUGGGCUCAAGCAGUCCUCCUGCUUCAGCCUCCCAAAGUGUUCGGAUUAUAGGCGUGAGCCACCAUGCCCAGCCCAAAUUUAAAUAUAUAACUAAACACAUAGCAGCUAACACCAAGCCUUUAAAAAUAUCAUUAAUAGGCCAGGCGCAGUGGCUCAUGCCUGUAAUCCCAGCACUUUGGGAGGCCGAGGCGGGCAGAUCACCUGAGGUCGCGAGUUCGAGACCAGCCUGACCAACAUGGAGAAACCCUGUCUCUACUAAAAAUACAAAAUUAGCCGGGCAUGGUGGCACAUGCCUGUAAUCCCAGCUACUGGGGAGGCUGAGGCAGGAGAAUCACUUGAACCUGGGAGGCGGAGGUUGCGGUGAGUCGAGAUCGCACCAUUGCCCUCCAGCCUGGGCAACAAGAGCAAAACUCCAUCUCAAAAAAACAAACAAACAAACAAAAUAUAUAUAUCAUUAAUAGGCCGGGCAUGGUGUCUCACGCUUGUAAUCCCAGUGCUUUGAGAGGCCGAGGUGGGCAGAUCACUGGGGUCAGGAGUUCGAUACCAGCCUGGGCAACAUGGUGAAACCCUGUCUCUGCUAAAAAUACAAAAAUUAGCCACGCAUGGUGGUAAGCACCUGUAAUCCCAGCUACUCAGGAGGCUGAGGCUGGAGAAUGCUUGGACCUGGGAGGUGGAGGCUACAGUGAGCUGAGAUCACACUCCAGCCUGGGUGACAGAGCAAGACUCUGUCUCAAAAAAAAAAAAAAAAAUCAUUAAUAAAUGUGAUCUUUUUUCUUCCUAUACAACAAGUUGUCAAGCAAGUAUGACCUUCUUAAUUGACCCUUUGACAUGAACUGGGAUGAGAUCGUGGAGGAUGUUGAGGAGACAGUUGUUACCAUAGUGCACUUCUAAAAACUUUAAUUCUAUAGAUUUCUUUAAAAUUUUUUUUAAAAUUAUUAUGAGUACACAAUAGGUGCAUCUAUAGAUUUCAUUACCCUCAAAUAAAUGUACAAGGCAAUGCAGAGAAAUGCACAGUGUAACUUGGUAGACUUGACCUAUCAAGUUACUGUUGAAUAUAUUAUGGAGCCUGUGUAUUACCAGGGGCAGCAGACUUUUCCUGUAAAGAUAGUUGUUUUCAGCUUUGUUGAAUCUGUGGUCUCUGUCUUAACUACAACUGAGAAAGCCAUUGACAAUAUAUAGAUGAAUGUACAUGACUAUUCUAAUAAAACUGUGUACACUGUAAUUUGAAUUGCACAUAAUUUUCAUGUGUCUCCUGUAUAAUUCUUCUUUUGACUUCUUUUCAACCAUUAAAAAAUGUAAAAACAGGCCAGGCGUGGUGGCUCAUGCUUGUAAUCCCAGCACUUUGGGAGGCUGGGUGGAUUGCUGGAGCCCAGGAGCUUGAGAUCAGCCUGAGCAAUGUGAUGAAACCCUGUCUCUACAAAAAAUUAGCUGGGCAUGGUGUUAUGUGCCUGUGGUCCCAGCUACUUGGGAGGCUGAGGUAGGAGGAUUGCCUGAACCCGAGGAAGUCAAGGCUACAGUGGUUUGUGCCACUGCACUCUAGCCUAGGUGACAGAGUGAGACCCUGUCUCAGUGAAUGAAUGAAUACAUUAUUAGCUUGUGGACUAUACAAAAAUCAGAGGCUGGAGGUGAGCUGGGUAUGGCCAUUGGGUGUGGUUUGCUGACUUCUGGUAGAGAGGAAUUAGGAGAUGUUAAAGGUGGUGGAACUGUCAGAUACUUGCAUUCUUUUAGAAAUACUUUGGAGUUAGCUUUUUGGUUCAGGCAAAGGACCAAAGGGUUAGGAGAGUCAGGCCGGUAAAGAGGAGUGGUGGGCCCAUAGCAGCAGUUCCUGGAGUUUUUUUUUUUUUUUUUUUUUUGUGAGACGGAGUUUUGCUCUGUCGCCCAGGCUGGAGUGCAGUGGCACGAUCUCGGCUCACUGCAACCUCUGCCUCCUGGGCUCAAGCAAUUCUCCUGCCUCAGCCUCCCGAGUAGCUGGGACUACAGGUGCCCACCGCCACGCCCGGCCAAUUUUUUUCUAUUUUUAGUAGAGAUGGGAUUUCACCGUGUUUGCUAGGAUGGUCUCGAUCUCCUGACCUCGUGAUCCACCUGCCUCGGCCUCCCAAAGUGUUGGGAUUACAGGUGUGAGUCACCGCGCCUGGCCAGGUCCUGGAGUCUUUAAGAGGAGGUUUGUCUGAUGGUUGGUUGGACAAAAGCCUGGGCAUGUUGUCACCUUCCAUAAGUGUUUGUGGGAAUGUAGGUAAUGAGGAGGAGUAAAGGAUUCCUGAAGGAUGAGGAGGAGGGCUGGUGGCUGCCAUAGGAAGUGAUCACUGUUUUGGCAGACCUGUCUUAGAGUAAUGACCGUCAUACUCUCUCAUUGCCCUUGUGAACUCAUGAAAUCCCAUGGCUGCUAAAGCUGAAGGUCAAGUGGGGACUUCCCGGCCACUGGGCUUAGCACCCCACAGAGCUGUGGAGUGGGCAUUAAUGUCCCUUUUUUAUAGAUGCGGAGACUGAGAAUGAGGACUGUUGGUAACUUUUGAAAGGGCACUCAGCUAGAAAAGUCUGAGCCAGGAUUUCAAGUCCCAUGGCUUUACCUCUGUGGUCCUAAUAUUUGGUGUGUUCAAGUGAGAUCUGUUUUUUUCCUAUUUCAUUUUGAUUAUUGAUUUUCAUAAAUUUUUUUCUCUUUUGAGAUAGUAUCUUCUCUCUCUUUUCUUUUUUCUGUUCUUUCUUUCUCUUUUCUUUCUUUUUUUUUUUUUCUCUGAGACGGAGUCUUGCUCUGUCGCCCAGGCUGGAGUGCAAUGGUGCAAUCUCAGUUCACUGCAACCUCUGCCUCUCGGGUUCAAGCGAUUCUCCCAUCUCAGCCUCCUGAGUUGCUGAGAUUACAGGCACCUGCCAUCUUGCCUGGCUAGUUUUUGUAUUUUUGUAGAGACGGGGUUUCAUCACGUUGGCCAGGCUGGUCUUGAACUUCUGACCUCAGGCGAUCCACCCGCCUCUGCCUCCCAAAGCGCUGUGAUUAUAUGCAUGAGCCACCAUGCCUGGCCAUUAUUUCUUUCUUUCUUUCUUUUUCUUUUUUUCAGGUUCAUUGAAUUUGCUUUGAGACAGGGUCUUGCUCUGUUGCCCAGGCUGAAGCGCAGUGGUGCAGUCAUGGCUCACUGGAGCAUCAAUUUCCUGGGCUCAAGCGAUACUUGCACUUCAGCACCCCUCCACCCCCACCCGCUCCUUUCCCCCACAGUAGCUGGAACUACAGGCGCUAGCCACCGUGCUUGGCUAAUUUUUUUUUUUUUUUUUUUUUUGAGACGGAGUCUCGCUCUGUCACCCAGGCUGGAGUGCAGUGGCGCGAUCUCGGCUCACUGCAAGCUCUGCCUCCCAGGUUCACAUCAUUCUCCUGCCUCAGCCUCCC
rnacentral:lncRNA from 1 species